UACGGGGGGGGCAAGCGUUGUUCGGAUUUACUGGGCGUAAAGGGCGCGUAGGCGGCCAACUAAGUCGGACGUGAAAUCCCCGGGCUCAACCCGGGAACUGCGUCCGAUACUGGAUGGCUUGAAUCUGGGAGAGGGAUGUGGAAUUCCAGGUGUAGCGGUGAAAUGCGUAGAUAUGGGGUGGAACACCGGUGGCGAAGGCGGCCAUCUGGACGGUAACUGACGCUGAGACGCGAAAGCGUGGGGAGCAAACAGG
rnacentral:rRNA from 1 species